rnacentral:rRNA from 1 species
AGCUAAGUGGAGAGGAGGUCAAAAUUCAUAAACAACUAGGAUGUUGGCUUAGAAGCAGCCACCAUCUAAGGAGUGCGUAACAGCUCACUAGUCUAGUUUUUUGGCGCCGCAAGUACAACGGGGCUAAGCUUAAUACCGAAUUUUUGGAUUCAUAAUUUAAUAAUUUUGAAUGGUAGACAAAUGUUGUAUAAGGAUUGAAGUUUUAGCGUGAGCAGAGAUGGACUUUAUACAAGUAAGAAUUCCGGCGUGAGUAACGAAUGAAAGUGAGAAUCUUUUUAGCCGAUUGAUCAAGGUUUCCGGGGCUAGGGUCGUCCUCCUCGGGUUAGUCGAUCCUAAGGCGAGGCCGAAAGGCGUAGUUGAUGGACAACAGGUUAAUAUUCCUGUACUCCCUUAAGUAUUCGAUGGGUAGACAAAAUAGGUUAAGGUAAGAGGAUUAUUGGAUUUCCUUUCAAGAAUCCGAGCAAGUCAGUGUUGAAAAUCACGCUGACAACAUUGUGAGGUUCGAGUACAAUCCUCGCUGGCGACAGCGGGGAAAGUUAUUCUUAAUCAUGUUUUCAAGAAAAUACUCUAAGAUUAUCUACUUUUGGGAAUCGUACCGAUAACGAACACACGUGAUCAAGGAGAAUAUCCUAAGGCUAGCGAGCUAACUACAGUUAAGGAACUCUGCAAAUUAACUCUGUAACUUCGGGAGAAAGAGUGCCCCCGCCAGCGGGGGUCACAGUAAAGAAUGAGGGCGGACUGUUUAACAAAAACACAGCUAUAUGCAAAAUUCAAACAUGAAGUAUAUGUGGCGACACCUGCCCGGUGCCAGAAGGUCAAAGAAGGGGGUCUUACAGCUCUUAACUUAAGCCCUGGUGAACGGCGGCCGUAACUAUAAC